CUAACACGGAGUACAGUGACACUUUCUUAAGCAGCAACCCAAAAUAUUCAAAUCACUUUCACCAAACAUUAAACCCUUUCCCCCAAAACCAUUCUAUCCUUCCUACCUCCAUUCAUCUCCAAUCCCCUUAUCCUAAUCCAAUCUCCCCAUCAAAAAACCCUUAAUUUCCCCCAUCUGACCCUAAAUUUCACUCCCUCAAACCAUUACCAAAAAACCCUUAAUUUCCUUCUCCUCCUCCGCCGUCACUAGCCGAAGAAUUCAAAAAGGCACAAUUAAUCUGCUAACACCGAUUCUCCUCCCCUUUCUGUUAAGAAAGAAAAUGUGACUCCAAUUAAUUCAAAGAUUGCGGAAAUAAGUGAAUCAAGGGCGAAACUGCUUAAUAGAAUUCAGAAUUUGAAAAAUGAUGAAAAGGAUGAACAGUAUAUAUUCAGCUUUGAUAAAGUGUUCUAUGAUGAUUCCGAACAAUCCGAUGUCUACGAUUUCUUAGCUCGGCCUAUUGUUACCGGUAUCUCUUGAUAUAAUCAUCACCUAUGAGAUUUGGCAAUGCUGAUAGAAAUUUGAUAAAACCUCUUACACCCCAACUCAAUGGUGUGGACAUUUAGCUGCUGGUGUUAUCAUGUGAAGAGUGCCUUAAUGUCGGUUGCGUAAAUAAGUAUGAGAUCUAUAACUCAAGUUACGUUCAUGUAGAUAUGAUUUCAGGUUGGUACUUGAUCUCUGGAUAACUUUGUCUAACUUAUAUCAUAUAGUUUUGAAAGUUCAUGAACAAAUCCAACACGGAAUUUAGUAUUUGAAUCAUUACUGAAUGUAAGUUUUUUUUGUUGUAAAAUGUGUUGAUGUUAAUUCCCUUUUGAGAGUUAAA